GCGACUCCGUUAUUUAGUUCGAAAAUCUUCGAAAUUUUCCUGGAAAUUUGUUUUCGCCAAGUGACGCAACGCAUUGAAAAUGUAAACUAUCCACUUGAGGAUAACUAGUCGUGUCUACUAGCGUCUCCCAUAGACGUGGUACAGGUGUAUCCAGAUCUAGAAGAUAUACCCGUCACUGUCUACGGAAGGAGCUUGCAGGUAUUUAUUCGUUUGUUAGCACAAAGGCAGCGCGAGACAGGCCAAGUUAUCGAACGGUAUCCACGACAAAAUCGCUGCGGCCCCAACAGUUAAUACCGACAGCAAUGGGUCCACAAAGAUCACACACGGACGUCGGGGGCUCAGUUUGCACCCAGAAGCGAAUAGCUAUUUCCGGUAGUGUUUCCGGCGUGUGGCGAGAUCAUUAUGGGACACGGCAAGCCCAGCAGCAACCUGACAUCGUUCAGUAUAGCGGUGGUGUGUUUGCGUCUGGAGUCUUUGAAACCCCCUUGACCAGAAAAUCUUGAACCGUCAAAGUGGCAACCGUCACUAGCAGAUCUCCUACGACCUUUGGAAAAACGAGUUUCG